GAUUUUUUGACACUUGAGUUUUAUCGUGAAGCCGGUCAGACGUACAUUUUCAGUGUUUCCCUAAGUGCGCAGAAGAAGGAAAAGCGAGCACUUUCAAGCUUAUGUGGUGGAUGCCGAACUGGAAUCUUGUACGAUUGUAUAAAAACUAUAAUUAUAAGUUAAUCACAAUUAAGAAAUUUUAGUAAAUAAAUAUACAUAA